rnacentral:rRNA from 1 species
AUUGAACGCUGGCGGCAGGCUUAACACAUGCAAGUCGGACGGUAACAGGGAGGAAGCUUGCUUUCUUUGCUGACGAGUGGCGGACGGGUGAGUAAUGCUUGGGAAUCUGUUUUAUGGAGGGGGAUAACUACGGGAAACUGUAGCUAAUACCGCGUAAUAUCGAGAGAUUAAAGUGUGGGACCGUAAGGCCACAUGCCAUAGAGUGAGCCCAAGUGGGGUUAGGUAGUUGGUGGGGUAAAGGCCUACCAAGCCGUCGAUCUCUAGCUGGUCUGAGAGGAUGACCAGCCACACUGGGACUGAGACACGGCCCAGACUCCUACGGGAGGCAGCAGUGGGGAAUAUUGCACAAUGGGCGCAAGCCUGAUGCAGCCAUGCCGCGUGAAUGAAGAAGGCCUUCGGGUUGUAAAGUUCUUUCGGUGGUGAGGAAGGUUGUAAUGUUAAUAGCAUUAUAAUUUGACGUUAGCCACAGAAGAAGCACCGGCUAACUCCGUGCCAGCAGCCGCGGUAAUACGGAGGGUGCGAGCGUUAAUCGGAAUAACUGGGCGUAAAGGGCACGCAGGCGGAUACUUAAGUGAGGUGUGAAAGCCCUGGGCUUAACCUAGGAAUUGCAUUUCAUACUGGGUAUCUAGAGUAUUUUAGGGAGGGGUAGAAUUCCACGUGUAGCGGUGAAAUGCGUAGAGAUGUGGAGGAAUACCGAAGGCGAAGGCAGCCCCUUGGGGGAAUACUGACGCUCAUGUGCGAAAGCGUGGGGAGCAAACAGG